AAUGAACGCUGGCGGCGCGCCUAAUACAUGCAAGUCGAGCGAGAAGACGUAGCAAUACGUUUGUAAAGCGGCGAACGGGUGAGGAAUACAUGGGUAACCUACCCUCGAGUGGGGAAUAACUAGCCGAAAGGUUAGCUAAUACCGCGUACGCUUCUUGGACUUCGGUUCAGGGAGGAAAGCGAUACCGUGGGUAUCGCGCUCUUGGAUGGGCUCAUGUCCUAUCAGCUUGUUGGUGAGGUAACGGCUCACCAAGGCUUUGACGGGUAGCUGGUCUGAGAGGACGAUCAGCCACACUGGCACUGCGACACGGGCCAGACUCCUACGGGAGGCAGCAGUAAGGAAUAUUGCGCAAUGGGCGAAAGCCUGACGCAGCGACGCCGCGUGGGGGAUGAAGGUCUUCGGAUU
rnacentral:rRNA from 1 species